GGAGGGGUGGCCGAGAGGCCGAAGGCGGCUGCUUGCUAAGCAGUUGAGCGGGUUUACGCCCGCUCCGUGGGUUCGAAUCCCACCCCCUCCG
rnacentral:tRNA from 1 species